ensembl:processed_transcript Six3os1 SIX homeobox 3, opposite strand 1
CGGCCGAGCCUUGUGAGCGCUAAGCCGGGAGGAGGGCGCAGUCAGGGCGCACAGCUCUGAGCGCGCCCCUACCCGGCUCGGGCCCGCAGCAGCCCGGACUGUCCGAGAGCCUCCCCGCAAGCAAGGCUGUGCGCCUCCCUCUGAGCGCACCUCCUGGCCACAACGCCGCCUGCGCUUCUCCAGCCCAGGCCGGAAGCCCUAUGCUGCCUUCCGAAGCCGGACUUUCUGGAAGCCCACCUCCAUAUGCUCACCAGCCCACCCUCCUACGCUGGUCAGAGUGAGAUUGCUAACCUCAAGACCCCAUUCAAUGCCAGCUUUCAACUACUGCUGAAGACCAAUGUAGGUCCCAGGAUAGAAGAACCGCAGAGUAUUCCUAAGGUCUCUUCUUCAUCUGGCGUUCACAGAAGGUAAAGUGUGCAAGAACACACUUAGGAAAAUUAUAGGAACUCUAACCUCAGUGCUGGAGGAAUAAAGACUUGGCGAAGGAAUGGAUCGAAUGCUUGAACACAUACACCUUGUUGUCCAGAGGCAGACAAAAGCUACCACGUCCACUUGGAGUGACGCCCAGACAUGCACACAGGAAGCCAAGGAGAGUGGGCUCAACCAGAGUACAGUACUUCCUGCAAGAUGCCCAGUGGGCCUGGAAAAAAAAAAUCUUCCAUUGACUCUUCUGUAUGGAAAGUUUCAGGCCACGUUCUGAAGAAAGGGCCAAGGAAUGAUCUGCCCCACAGGCUGCCUUUAGGCUCCCCUACCUGCUCUGCUGGAGACACCCAGAAGAGGCCAGUACAGGGAAGACUCCUUUUGCUUUGAUUAUUUCUGUUGCUGGUUGUCUUUUUUUUCCCGCCCUUUGCCUGGAAAAUUGUGCUCUGGAAUAGGGCUUGAGCCGACAGCACAGGCCUCCAGUAGAUAACAAGAGAUUCUCAAUGUCCAAUGAGGACAGUCCGUUCUAAGGAAGCUUCCAGAUAUGGGAAAGCCCUGUUUUGUCCCCCUUUCUCUUCUGAGAUCUGAAAAAGAAAAAAAGAAAGAAAGAAAGAAAAAAGAAAAGAAAAAGAAAAACAAAACAAAUCAAAAAACUAUAGCCCAACCCCGUGUACAUCAAAUAAAUUCACAAAGAAUAUGCUAGACCAAGCUAAAUUAUGUAUUUAACUCAUUUUCUUUUGUGUGAUACUGAGUCUUUGACUUCCUCUAGUCCAGGCAGGGAUUGAGGUCCUGGCCUGGCACAGAUUCCACCAACAGGGGUUCCCACAGUGGUUCUGGGGCCAGGCUUAAGGUGUACUAACACGUUUUCUCUGUCACCUCCUCUGGGGAACUGGGGAACAGUCCCAGACAAUGGCUGCCCCAGUUCCCUCUAGAAGAGACAGCCCCCCCCCCCAGCCCCGUUGCCCUCCAACCUCACCUCAUUUUCCAAUGUGCCCUCUUGAGCUCAUUUUCCGAGCUCUAAAGAAGUAGGCGUGAGUCUCGGACCAUUUCUUUAAAAGAAACGACUGGGAAAAGGAAGGAAGGGAAGAAGGGUGGAAGGGAGUGGGAUGGAAAGCUACCUCCUGGGCUAACACGUCCAGUAACCACUCUAAGGAGUAAACGAGAGCCUGUGUUAUAAAGCAGAAGUGAUCCCUGGAACAUUGCUGUAGGGCGCCUUGCAACAGAUGUAACUGUCCACUGAAGAGACAGAGGGUGGGCAUGGGGAAGAUUUUUUUUUUCCUCCCUUUUGUGAACAGCUCUUACACUUUUCCAAGACACAUUUAGUUCCUGGACAAUUUUGUGAAUUUGUUCUUGAUUGUGUUUUGAACAAUAAACUGUGAAAAUCAA